rnacentral:rRNA from 1 species
UACGUAGGGUGCAAGCGUUGUCCGGAAUUAUUGGGCGUAAAGAGCUCGUAGGCGGUUUGUUGCGUCGGCUGUGAAAACCUGAGGCUCAACCUCAGGCCUGCAGUCGAUACGAGCAGACUAGAGUGUUGCAGGGGAGACUGGAAUUCCUGAUGUAGCGGUGAAAUGCGCAGAUAUCAGGAGGAACACCGGUGGCGAAGGCGGGUCUCUGGGCAACAACUGACGCUGAGGAGCGAAAGCGUGGGGAGCGAACAGG